GCGCUUUCUUAGCGCACACAGAGCCCUGGUGCAAAGCUCAGCACUACCUAAACCAGGCUUAAGGGUGAACAUCUGCAAUUUCGGUUUCCAGGAUGUAGAGGCCCGAGGGUGAGAAGUGGAUGAUAAUCCUUGGCUAUGUACCAAGUUUAGGGCCAGCCUGGGCUGUGUGAACCCUAUCUCAAAACAAGCAAAACUGGAAAUCCCUGUAGCCGACCCUGGCUGGCAACCCUGUGCUUACCCACGUGGUGGCCAUCUGCAACCUUGAGUCUCACCGUCUGUUACAAGUUCCAACUCUUUCCCCUCACAUCUGUGCUUCAUGAAGCUUGCAAGUCCCUUGUCCUCUUCCCCUUUGAAUGUCUUCCUAGUUCAUUAUGUCCCCACCCAUCCCUUCCUUCUCUAAGCAACCCCUUUCUCAGUUCACAGCCUGGCAAGUCCAUCCCGCGAACUAGUUCAGCCUGGGCCCCCACACACACUAUGGCCCUCUCCCUUCCCAGCAGCACCCAGCACUGAGACGGGUCCCCAGUAUCCUCGGGCUACUCCCGUUUUCCUCUCAUCUGGUGCUAACCCGUCUUGUGACAUUGUCUCUUGGCCUGAUGUUUCAGUUCUGAUCCUGCUGCUGUGGCACUGAGUCUCUCCCCGCCCCCUCGUUCUCACACUUCCUGGAACCAGAAGCCUGAGCCAGGAGCAGAGCCUGAGUGGGGAGUGAGGGGCCUGGCUCCGGGCCUAGAUUGUGCUGUCCAUCUUCUGCCCAGUGUUGUGGCCUUGCACAGUUUCUGGCCCUUUCAGGACUUUCCUGAUCAUGAGGAUCAUGGCUCAUCCGUGAGGAUCCUUCCAGCAUCUCGUGGAGCCCAGGCCAGCCUCCAGUUUCCUGUGUAGCCACAGAUGUCCUCGAGCUUCUGAUCCUCUGUGGGCUGGGAUCAUAGACAGAUCCAGCACCUCUGGUCUGUGCAGUGGUAGGGCUGGAGCCCAGGGCAUCAGGCAAACACUCCAAGAACUGGGCUACGUCUCCAGCACGCGAUGUCUGUGUUCCACGAGUAUGCUCAUUCCUUCAGAUGGCCGCUCAGACCCAUGCAGCCUGGUGCCACCUGCACUGCUGCCUAUAGUGUGCUUGUGUGUGUGACACGUAAUGGGUGGAAACUGUCCCUGUGAUGUGUUCAUCUUGUCUCUCCUGUCUUCACUGCUGUCUAUACUCCUGUUCCCUUUAAAAAAAAAAA